rnacentral:rRNA from 1 species
GCCGGGAACUCAAAGGAGACUGCCAGUGAUAAACUGGAGGAAGGUGGGGAUGACGUCAAGUCAUCAUGGCCCUUACGACCAGGGCUACACACGUGCUACAAUGGCAUAUACAAAGAGAAGCGACCUCGCGAGAGCAAGCGGACCUCAUAAAGUAUGUCGUAGUCCGGAUUGGAGUCUGCAACUCGACUCCAUGAAGUCGGAAUCGCUAGUAAUCGUAGAUCAGAAUGCUACGGUGAAUACGUUCCCGGGCCUUGUACACACCGCCCGUCACACCAUGGGAGUGGGUUGCAAAAGAAGUAGGUAGCUUAACCUUCGGGAGGGCGCUUACCACUUUGUGAUUCAUGACUGGGGUGAAGUCGUAACAAGGUAACCGUAGGGGAACCUGCGGUUGGAUCACCUCCUUACCUUA